AACUCAAGACUAAGAUACAACUCCUAAAGCAACAAACAAAGAUUGGGAUGGAGACACCAUUGAUGAACAUCAUAAAUAAGACCUUUGCCUCUAUAUUUAAGCCAACUCCACGAUAACAUUUGAACAUUCUCCAAAACUUCCACCAAGCAGCACUUUCAACAAAUUAUCUUUUAUAUGCACCUCUUUUCAGCAAAUUAUCAUCCUUGAAAAAGAAUAACAAUGCACUAGUAGUUCUUCCUAUUGAAACACAUUUCUACGUUAGCUCCACCCUAGACCUCCAACUUCCCACCUCAAUCUACAC
rnacentral:lncRNA from 1 species